AAAUUGAAGAGUUUGAUCAUGGCUCAGAUUGAACGCUGGCGGCAGGCCUAACACAUGCAAGUCGAACGGUAACAGGAAGCAGCUUGCUGCUUCGCUGACGAGUGGCGGACGGGUGAGUAAUGUCUGGGAAACUGCCUGAUGGAGGGGGAUAACUACUGGAAACGGUGGCUAAUACCGCAUAACGUCGCAAGACCAAAGAGGGGGACCUUCGGGCCUCUUGCCAUCAGAUGUGCCCAGAUGGGAUUAGCUAGUUGGUGAGGUAACGGCUCACCAAGGCGGCGAUCCCUAGCUGGUCUGAGAGGAUGACCAGCCACACUGGAACUGAGACACGGUCCAGACUCCUACGGGAGGCAGCAGUGGGGAAUAUUGCACAAUGGGCGCAAGCCUGAUGCAGCCAUGCCGCGUGUAUGAAGAAGGCCUUCGGGUUGUAAAGUACUUUCAGCGGGGAGGAAGGUGUUGUGGUUAAUAACC
rnacentral:rRNA from 1 species